GUGGGGAAUAUUGCGCAAUGGGGGAAACCCUGACGCAGCAACGCCGCGUGAGUGAGGAAGGACUUCGGUCUGUAAAGCUCUGUUAAUGUGGAAAAAUGGUAGUUGGUCUAAUAGGCCGAUUAUUUGAUGGUACACAUAGAGGAAGCACCGGCUAACUUCGUGCCAGCAGCCGCGGUAAUACGAAGGGUGCAAGCGUUGUUCGGAUUUAUUGGGCGUAAAGCGCGCGUAGGCGGACCUGCAAGUCAGAUGUGAAAUCUCGGGGCUCAACCCCGAAACUGCGUCUGAAACUACAGGUCUAGAAUCUUGGAGGGGGAAGGGGAAUAUCGCAUGUAGGGGUAAAAUCCGUAGAUAUGCGAUGGAACACCAGAGGCGAAGGCGCCUUCCUGGACAAGUAUUGACGCUGAGGCGCGAAAGCGUGGGGAUCAAACAGGAUUAGAAACCCCUGUAGUCC
rnacentral:rRNA from 1 species